rnacentral:lncRNA from 1 species
AUGAAAGAUGUUUUCUGCUGUGUCCCGAGCUGGAACGCUGAUGCUGCCUUUUCCAGCCCAGAAUGUCAAAUAACCCCAAGAAGAAGAAAAGCUGAACGCCAAGAAUUGCGAGUGUCAGAUUUCCCUAAAGAAAGUGUCUUUUUCUUCCCCCCACCUCAAAAAGCAGAGCACUUGUGAUCUUUGGAUCUUUGGAUCUUUGCUGCUGUUUAAAAAUAAAACCCAAAGCACAACGUGUUUGGAGGCCA